UAUUAUCCUUUGCGGACUUUUUGGAGAAUUUGGUCGAAGGCCUCGGAGUGUAAUCACUGUACUCUUCGGGAAAAAGUAUCGGCUGACACCAGGGCUGAGACAAAGCUCGCUUAGGUCUUUGCGCCAUCUUGUUUACAUAUAUUAAGUGUCAUGUUGCGCGUCAUUCACUGUGCGAGGGGCACUGGACACAAGUUGACUCAAAUGUUCGUGAUAGUAUUGCGAAAGUUUGAUAUGUCUGUCUUUCAUACAAUCAAGAUCUGUCUUUCAUACAACCAAGAUUAAAUUGCAUGAACGGUUUGACUGAAAAGGCGAUUUUAAUUAAAAAAGAUCCAAAAUAUAAGAAACUGGAUAAAAAAACAAACAAGCACUUGACUCAAAGUAAUGUGUAAUACUGGAUCGAUAUACUGCAGGACAAAAAGCAGACAGUUAUCACGAGAGAGAUAUCGGAGUGUUAUAAAAGACUCAUGGGCAUGCCUAAACCACACCCACUUUUUUCCACGACCACCUUCAACUCUUGAUUUAACUCGCUCCCGUAAAAAUGCGAAAAGACAAUAAAGACUAUAUUAAAUAUUGUUGUACCCUUUUUCUGAUAGAUAAGAUUUGCGUAAAGUAUCAUGAAUUAGCAAACCAUAGCCCUCAGACAAGGCGAAAUGACGUCCCAGAGACCCUACAAAGUACAAAUUCAAAAAUUCAGCAACAAUAUAUACUGAUUAAAAAUGUCCCCAAAAAUGGCACACAUUUUUAUCUUUCCGCAUGCCAUUCCGCUGGGCUAUUUUGCUUUUACAUGUUGAAUAUAGCGAAUCCGUUGCUCCCCGAUACUCUCCGGUGAUAACUGACCGUUUAGUCGUUUUUGUAAUGUUAUAUAUAUCAUAGUUUGCAGUUUAUCUGCGGCGUAUCUAAAAUCUGUCGUCAUGCAAAGUUGUUUUGGAAAGACAUAUGAAUACGUCAUGAAGACAUAAUUACGUCCACUGAUGACGGGUUCGGGCCUAUGUGGAUCGAAUUUAUAAUAAUAUAUAGAUAUGGUGGUGUUCCUACAAUAUUAAACAAAACAAUUAUAGAGAGAUAUAGGUAAAUUAAGUGAAACUUGGAGAUGCAUGUCUAUAUGUAGUUUAAUCACCAAGCACGAAAAUAAUUUUGAUAUGAAGGGCAACUAUUUCAUGGAGUAACUUUUUUAUCAGGGUUUAUGGAUGUAAACCUUUUUAGUUGACUCAAAGACGAGGGUUAAUUCACUUUAUUUAAUUUAGUUCUACAGUAUGCAUGUGUAUACUACGUUUGCCGCUCUUCUUUUUAUGAGCAAAUUUACUCAUUUUGGGGGUAUAAAGCGAAUUCUACUCAAAACGUGAAGUGAAUUUGAAACUUUACUGAAAAUUGGAGAAAAUUUUACUCAAUAUUGUGAAUCACUGUGGGUGCAUUAUAUUUUACUCAAGCUUUUGAGUCAAAGUACUCGGGGAUUUUGUGCAGUGUUUUUAAACUACGCAAACUACAUUGUAGCCUGCAAAAAGAUCAGAAUGACAGUUUUGGAUUGCCAUAGC